UUACUCAUACUUUUAUGGAGCUGGAACGUUUGCCAUCGUUUGCCGCUAGGGGCGCUGUUACAACUGCAUACAAAUUAGAGUUA
rnacentral:pre_miRNA from 1 species